rnacentral:rRNA from 1 species
GACGAACGCUGGCGGCGUGCCUAAUACAUGCAAGUUGAGCGCUGAAGGUUGGUACUUGUACCAACUGGAUGAGCAGCGAACGGGUGAGUAACGCGUGGGGAAUCUGCCUUUGAGCGGGGGACAACAUUUGGAAACGAAUGCUAAUACCGCAUAAAAACUUUAAACACAAGUUUUAAGUUUGAAGGAUGCAAUUGCAUCACUCAAAGAUGAUCCCGCGUUGUAUUAGCUAGUUGGUGAGGUAAAGGCUCACCAAGGCGAUGAUACAUAGCCGACCUGAGAGGGUGAUCGGCCACAUUGGGACUGAGACACGGCCCAAACUCCUGCGGGAGGCAGCAGUAGGGAAUCUUCGGCAAUGGACGAAAGUCUGACCGAGCAACGCCGCGUGAGUGAAGAAGGGUUUCGGAUCGUAAAACUCUGUUGGUAGAGAAGAACGUUGGUGAGAGUGGAAAGCUCAUCAAGUGACGGUAACUACCCAGAAAGGGACGGCUAACUACGUG